rnacentral:tRNA from 1 species
GGGCCAGUAGCUCAUCUGGUAGAGCACCGCCUUUGCACGGCGGGGGUGGCGGGUUCGAGUCCUGUCUGGUCCACAA